rnacentral:rRNA from 1 species
GUAGUCUGAGCUGCACAGACGAGGAGCAUUGCUGCCUGCUAGACGUUAGCGGCGGACGGGUGAGUAACACGUGGAUAACCUACCUAUAAGACUGGGAUAACUUCGGGAAACCGGAGCUAAUACCGGAUAAUAUAUUGAACCGCAUGGUUCAAUAGUGAAAGACGGUUUUGCUGUCACUUAUAGAUGGAUCCGCGCCGCAUUAGCUAGUUGGUAAGGUAACGGCUUACCAAGGCAACGAUGCGUAGCCGACCUGAGAGGGUGAUCGGCCACACUGGAACUGAGACACGGUCCAGACUCCUACGGGAGGCAGCAGUAGGGAAUCUUCCGCAAUGGGCGAAAGCCUGACGGAGCAACGCCGCGUGAGUGAUGAAGGUCUUCGGAUCGUAAAACUCUGUUAUUAGGGAAGAACAAAUGUGUAAGUAACUAUGCACGUCUUGACGGUACCUAAUCAGAAAGCCACGGCUAACUACGUGCCAGCAGCCGCGGUAAUACGUAGGUGGCAAGCGUUAUCCGGAAUUAUUGGGCGUAAAGCGCGCGUAGGCGGUUUUUUAAGUCUGAUGUGAAAGCCCACGGCUCAACCGUGGAGGGUCAUUGGAAACUGGAAAACUUGAGUGCAGAAGAGGAAAGUGGAAUUCCAUGUGUAGCGGUGAAAUGCGCAGAGAUAUGGAGGAACACCAGUGGCGAAGGCGACUUUCUGGUCUGUAACUGACGCUGAUGUGCGAAAGCGUGGGGAUCAAACAGGAUUAGAUACCCUGGUAGUCCACGCCGUAAACGAUGAGUGCUAAGUGUUAGGGGGUUUCCGCCCCUUAGUGCUGCAGCUAACGCAUUAAGCACUCCGCCUGGGGAGUACGACCGCAAGGUUGAAACUCAAAGGAAUUGACGGGGACCCGCACAAGCGGUGGAGCAUGUGGGUUUAAUUCGAAGCAACGCCAAGAACCUUACCAAUCUUGACAUCCUCUGACCCUCUAGAGAUAGAGUUUUCCCCUUUCGGGGGACAGAGUGACGGUGUUGCAUGGUUGUCGUCAGCUUCCUGUCGGGAAAUG